UACGUAGGGGGCAAGCGUUGUCCGGAUUUAUUGGGCGUAAAGCGCGUGUAGGUGGCCAAGUAGGUCCGCUGUGAAAACUUGAGGCUCAACCUCAAGCUGUCGGUGGAAACCCCUUGGCUAGAGUCCGGAAGAGGAGAGUGGAAUUCCCUGGUGUAGCGGUGAAAUGCGCAGAUAUCAGGAAGAACACCAAUGGCGAAGGCAGCUCUCUGGGACGGUACUGACACUGAGACGCGAAAGCGUGGGGAGCGAACAGG
rnacentral:rRNA from 1 species